UCAAGUUAUUAAGGGCGCAGGGCGGAUGCCUUGGCACUAAGAGCCGAUGAAGGACGCGAUAAGCUGCGAUAAGCUUCGGGGAGUUGCACGUAAACUUUGAUCCGAAGAUUUCCGAAUGAGGAAACUCACUUAGAGUAAUGUCUAAGUAUCAUUAAGUGAAUACAUAGCUUAGUGAGGGGAACCCGGGGAACUGAAACAUCUAAGUACCCGGAGGAAAAGAAAGAAAUUCGAUUCCGUAAGUAGCGGCGAGCGAACGCGGAACAGCCCAAACCAGUGAAGUUUUCUUCGCUGGGGUUGCGGACAUAUCACAAACAAGAGGUCAUCGUAAACGAAGAGAGUUGGAAAGCUCCGCUAUAAAGUGUAAUAGCCACGUAGUUGAAACGAUAAUUCUUUAGAUUGAUCCAGAGUACCACGGGACACGUGAAACCCUGUGGGAAGCAGGAGGGACCAUCCUCCAAGGCUAAAUACUACUUAGUGACCGAUAGCGCAUAGUACCGUGAGGGAAAGGUGAAAAGAACCCCGGGAGGGGAGUGAAAUAGAACCUGAAACCCUGCGCUUACAAGCUGUGGAAGCACUUUAUAUGUGUGACCGCGUACUUUUUGUAGAACGGGCCAACGAGUUACGAUAGUAAGCUAGGUUAAGUACUUAAGGUAUGGAGCCGUAGUGAAAGCGAGUCUUAAAUG
rnacentral:rRNA from 2 species